UACAGAAAAUUGUCUUGAAUGUUUCUAAAA
rnacentral:piRNA from 1 species